UACAGAGGGUGCGAGCGUUAAUCGGAAUUACUGGGCGUAAAGGGCGCGUAGGUGGUUACUUAAGUCAGAUGUGAAAUCCCUGGGCUUAACCUAGGAAUUGCAUAUGAAACUGAGUAGCUAGAGUGCGGAAGAGGGAAGUGGAAUUUCCGGUGUAGCGGUGAAAUGCGUAGAUAUCGGAAGGAACACCAGUGGCGAAGGCGACUUCCUGGUCCGUUACUGACACUGAGGCGCGAAAGCGUGGGGAGCGAACAGG
rnacentral:rRNA from 1 species